AGCGAACGCUGGCGGCGUGCCUAACACAUGCAAGUCGAACGUGAAAAGGGAAACCUGAGUAAAGUGGCGUACGGGUGAGUAACGCGUAGGUAAUCUACCCCAGAAUCUGGAAUAACCUGCCGAAAGGCGGGCUAAUACUGGAUAGAGCGAGGGAACUCGUAAGAGAGUUUUUCGGGAAAGGGAGCCCGCAAGGGCCUUCGUUCUGGGAUGAGCCUGCGUCUCAUUAGCUAGUUGGUAAGGUAACGGCUUACCAAGGCGAUGAUGAGUAGCUGGUCUGAGAGGAUGAUCAGCCACACUGGAACUGAAACACGGUCCAGACUCCUACGGGAGGCAGCAGUGGGGAAUCUUGCGCAAUGGACGAAAGUCUGACGCUGCCACGCCGCGUGAGUGAAGAAGGCCUUCGGGUUGUAAAGCUCUGUCGGAUGGGACGAACAUCUUCAUAGUGAAUAGCUAUGAGGACUGACGGUACCAUCAAAGGAAGCACCGGCUAACUCCGUG
rnacentral:rRNA from 1 species